ACGGCCAUAUCCCGUUAAAACACCGGUUCUCGUAAGAUCACCGAAGGUAAGCAACGUCGAGCCUCGACAGGACCUAGAUGACUGACCGCUUGAGAAUACCAGGUGCUGCAAG